ACUUUAUGUGAAGGGGUGUGCAUAAGACUUACACGACACUGUCCUAAACAUGACAUAACAAAUGUCAUGAACAUGAAGGAAUCUUUAUGGAUGUUUGUGACUGCUGUCGUGAAGUGUCAUUUGGUAAAUAAUAACACUUUUAAUGCAAACUUGCAUUAAAAGUA